AACGAACGCUGGCGGCAGGCUUAACACAUGCAAGUCGAACGCACCGCAAGGUGAGUGGCAGACGGGUGAGUAACACGUGGGGAUCUGCCCAAUGGUACGGAAUAGCUCCGGGAAACUGGAAUUAAUACCGUAUGUGCCCUUCGGGGGCAAGAUUUAUCGCCAUUGGAUGAACCCGCGUCGGAUUAGCUAGUUGGUGUGGUAAAGGCGCACCAAGGCGACGAUCCGUAGCUGGUCUGAGAGGAUGAUCAGCCACACUGGGACUGAGACACGGCCCAGACUCCUACGGGAGGCAGCAGUGGGGAAUAUUGGACAAUGGGCGCAAGCCUGAUCCAGCCAUGCCGCGUGAGUGAUGAAGGCCCUAGGGUUGUAAAGCUCUUUCGCCGACGAAGAUAAUGACGGUAGUCGGAGAAGAAGCCCCGGCUAACUUCGUGCCAGCCGCCGCCGUAAGAC
rnacentral:rRNA from 1 species